rnacentral:rRNA from 1 species
GACGAACGCUGGCGGCGUGCUUAACACAUGCAAGUCGAACGGAAAGGCCCAGCUUGCUGGGUACUCGAGUGGCGAACGGGUGAGUAACACGUGGGUGAUCUGCCCCUGUCUUUGGGAUAAGCCUGGGAAACUGGGUCUAAUACCGGAUAUGACCUUACAUCGCAUGGUGUUUGGUGGAAAGCUUUUGCGGUUGGGGAUGGGCCCGCGGCCUAUCAGCUUGUUGGUGGGGUAAUGGCCUACCAAGGCGACGACGGGUAGCCGACCUGAGAGGGUGAUCGGCCACACUGGGACUGAGACACGGCCCAGACUCCUACGGGAGGCAGCAGUGGGGAAUAUUGCACAAUGGGCGCAAGCCUGAUGCAGCGACGCCGCGUGAGGGAUGACGGCCUUCGGGUUGUAAACCUCUUUCACCAGGGACGAAGCGUGAGUGACGGUACCUGGAGAAGAAGCACCGGCCAACUACGUG